UAGUACGAAUUUGAUACAAAUAUGGUACCUGAUACGCGUAUCAAAUGCACGAUGUAAACUAAGCCAUAGAUACACAAAAUACUGAUGUUAAGGCAUUGAUGAUAGCUAUACCAAGAUUGCCAAAUUGUGCUGGAAAUGGCUAAAACUACCGGAAGUUUAACGGAAAAUGGCGGAGCCAAUCACAAUCGAGAGCGGUAUUGGCACAACUCUCCUUAUAGGAAUUCUAUAACAUUUGCGCCAUCAACGCCAAUGCCAAGGAGAUUUUCUAAUUUUAAACCAUCUCUUUUCAAUUGGUCCGAAAACUUCAAACGAGUAUCUGCUGUUUCUAUUUCAAUGAGUCUAUAGAAACUUAAUAUAAAUUCUGUACUCUUUCAUCGAUAAUCGCAGAAUAAAACUCACCACCAAUAUCGUUGAUUAAAUCGUCAAGCAUGCAUGGGGCAAUCACAGUUUUCAUCAACGAUGUACAAUUUCGUUCUGUACAAUUAUUUGAUGUCCUGUAAAUGUGCAAUACAUGCGUAAAAACCACUUGGAAUAAGUUGCCAGCACGUAUUUUGUUCAUGUCGUAUGUAUACUACGUUAUAUAUAUAUAUAUAUAUACACACACACACGCGGACAAGAAUGCCUAGCUAUAUGAAAUGAGCUGCAUUAACGCGUAACAGAAGAGCUUAUGUGGUGGCCCUAAAUCGGAUCGUGGUCGGAUAGAUAUACUCUUGAAAGUUUUCUCUUUAUCAUGAUUAUCUGUUUUCUACAAUAGCACUUUCAUGUACAAAAUUAUAUAAGUUAGAUACUUGCUAACCAUGUAUUUCAAUUAGUAUAGAAAGAAAUUUGAAAAUUGUACUAAAAGUUACAAAAUAAAUUUUCUAAGAUAUAAAAUGUAGUUUAAAAAAUUAUAUAAAAAAUUGAAAAAAAAAAAUUAUCAGAAAGUACUGCGAUUAACAAUGCACAGUCGAAUAUAAGUUAGAGUUGUAUACACAGGUUUUUUAAAUAUAUUUCUUCAAUGUUUAAAUGAGCAAGGUGAGAAAAAAGAACAAGAAAAAAGAGAAGGAAAACGCUUGUAGACACACAAGAUUUAUCUUUUAUUAAAGACAGAUAUAAAAAUAAAUUUUGAUUUC